UGCCCCGUACACAGCCCCGACGUCCUUCCCGUGUCUUUCCCGCGGUAGAAUUCCCGUGACUGCAAGCACGCUCAGUGAAAUACUACGUUACACAGCCCCGACCUCCUUCACUACUCUUUUACAGGGGUAGUGAUUAGCAGGGUUCAUUUUUUUCCAUUUAUUGAGCCGCUAAAGUCAUCAGUCAUCAGUUAUCAGGAAGGUCAUCAGGAGAGUCAUCAAUCAGCAUCUUCAUCAGUCAUCAGCCGGUCAUCAGGAAAAUCAUUAGGAAAGUCAUUAGGAAAGUCAUCGGUCAUCAGGAAAGUCAUUAGGAAAGUCAUCGGUCAUCAUUGUCUUCAGGCAGGAGAGUCAUCAGUCAGCAUCUCAAUCAUCAGUCAUCAGCUGGUCAUCAGGAAAAUCAUUAGGAAAGUCAUCGGUCAUCAGGAAAGUCAUUAGGAAAGUCAUCGGUCAUCAUUGUCUUCAGGCAGGAGAGUCAUCAGUCAGCAU